rnacentral:rRNA from 1 species
CGGCGAACGGGUGAGUAACACGUGGGUGAUCUGCCUCGUACUUCGGGAUAAGCCUGGGAAACUGGGUCUAAUACCGGAUAUGACCUUCGGAUGCAUGUCUGAGGGUGGAAAGAUUUAUCGGUACGAGAUGGGCCCGCGGCCUAUCAGCUUGUUGGUGGGGUAAUGGCCUACCAAGGCGACGACGGGUAGCCGGCCUGAGAGGGCGACCGGCCACACUGGGACUGAGACACGGCCCAGACUCCUACGGGAGGCAGCAGUGGGGAAUAUUGCACAAUGGGCGAAAGCCUGAUGCAGCGACGCCGCGUGAGGGAUGACGGCCUUCGGGUUGUAAACCUCUUUCGACAGGGACGAAGCGCAAGUGACGGUACCUGUAGAAGAAGCACCGGCCAACUACGUGCCAGCAGCCGCGGUAAUACGUAGGGUGCGAGCGUUGUCCGGAAUUACUGGGCGUAAAGAGCUUGUAGGCGGUUCGUCGCGUCGUUCGUGAAAACUUGGGGCUCAACCCCAAGCUUGCGGGCGAUACGGGCGGACUAGAGUACUUCAGGGGAGACUGGAAUUCCUGGUGUAGCGGUGAAAUGCGCAGAUAUCAGGAGGAACACCGGUGGCGAAGGCGGGUCUCUGGGAAGUAACUGACGCUGAGA